rnacentral:rRNA from 1 species
CCUACGGGAGGCAGCAGUGAGGAAUAUUGGUCAAUGGGCGGGAGCCUGAACCAGCCAAGUCGCGUGAGGGAAGACGGUCCUACGGAUUGUAAACCUCUUUUGCCGGGGAGCAACGGGGUCCUUGCGAGGGACCGAUGAGAGUACCCGGAGAAAAAGCAUCGGCUAACUCCGUGCCAGCAGCCGCGGUAAUACGGAGGAUGCGAGCGUUAUCCGGAUUUAUUGGGUUUAACGGGUGCGUAGGCGGGCUGUUAGGUCAGCGGUAAAAUGUUGGGGCUCAACCCCGGCCUGCCGUUGAAACUGGCGGCCUCGAGUGGGCGAGAAGUAUGCGGAAUGCGUGGGGUAGCGGUGAAAUGCAUAGAUAUCACGCAGAACUCCGAUUGCGAAGGCAGCAUACCGGCGCCCGACUGACGCUGAGGCACGAAAGCGUGGGUAUCGAACAGGAUUAGAUACCCUUGUAGUC